GACGGCUACCACAUCUAAGGAAGGCAGCAGGCGCGCAAAUUACCCAAUUCUAACAGUUUGAGAGAGGUAGUAACAAGAAAUAACAAUACAAGGCAGUUAAAAUGCUUUGUAAUUGGAAUGAUAGAAAUUUAAACCCUUUUUAAAGUAUCAAUUGGAGGGCAAGUCUGGUGCCAGCAGCCGCGGUAAUUCCAGCUCCAAUAGCGUAUAUUAAAAUUGUUGCAGUUAAAAAGCUCGUAGUUGAAGUUCUGCUGAAAGUAACCGGUCUGCUUUUAAUAAAAGUGGUAUCUUGGUAUGUAUUUAGCAAUGAUGUCCUUUGAAGUGUUUUUUACUUUAUUGUAAUAAAGCAUAUUCAGGACUUUUACUUUGAGAAAAUUAGAGUGUUUCUAGCAGGCUNACGCUUUGAAUACUGCAGCAUGGAAUAAUAAGAUAGGAUUUUAGUUCUACAUUAUUGGUUUUAAGAGCUAAAUUAAUGAUUGAUAGGGACAGUUGGGGGCAUUC
rnacentral:rRNA from 1 species